rnacentral:rRNA from 1 species
AGAGUUUGAUCAUGGCUCAGGACGAACGCUGGCGGCGUGCUUAACACAUGCAAGUCGAACGAUGAUGGCCUCGGGUCGGAUUAGUGGCGAACGGGUGAGUAACACGUGGGCAACCUGCCCUCCACUCUGGGAUAACUCCGGGAAACCGGGGCUAAUACUGGAUAUGACUGCUGGUCGCAUGACUGGUGGUGGAAAGUUUU